AGAACGAACGCUGGCGGCGUGCUUAACACAUGCAAGUCGAGCGGAAAGGCCCUUCGGGGUACUCGAGCGGCGAACGGGUGAGUAACACGUGAGCAACCUGCCCUUAGCUUCGGGAUAGCUCCGGGAAACCGGAAUUAAUACCGAAUAUGACUGCGGCUGACAUCAGCCACGGUGGAAAGUUUUUCGGCUAGGGAUGGACUCGCGGCCUAUCAGCUAGUUGGUGAGGUAACGGCCCACCAAGGCGACGACGGGUA
rnacentral:rRNA from 1 species